UGGCCUUAGAGGAGCUGUGGGGUCUUUCCGGCUCUCACGUGACAGCCCAGGUUGAGUUAAAUAACACCUUGGAUCUAAGGCCGUAUUCAUUGGACAGUUCCUCCCUCUCUGGAGUCCAAUGUAGGGGAAAGGAGCAGGGAGAAACCAGAGCCUGUGACCUUUAUUUCUCAUUUGUUCUCCUGGAGGUAGGCCUUUCCAGAAGGUUGAAUCUCUUCCCUUGGAACUGGCACUCUGUAGCCACUUAAAAUAGAAACGUCAAGUGUUUUCUGUUUUCCUUCCUUCUCACUGCCGGGUCGACCUUUAGUGGUCUAAUCAUCUAUGAGCUCUGGAUACCAAAUGGCGUGAUCGAAGGAGGUGGACACAUUCCAGGACGGUUAAGUCUCAAAACUAGCUGGGGGCUGGUUUUUAUCAAAGGGGGUGGUCAGCGCAGCACUCCCCAGAGUCUGGGAUCCCCGGCUUGUAAUUCUGCCAAAGAGGGAACCUAACAGAAGUCGGAGCUAACGGAAGCAGGGUUUCACAGUAGAGAAAACGAGGGCUUCACACUGCAGGUUGCUUUCCAGAACUACAAAUGCUGUGGUGCCGUGGUCGCUCCUGAAAAAUCCUUACGUGACUCUAAAAGUGGGGAAGCACACCCCAACUGCAACAUCGCAGCCUUGCAAAUGAACGAAAAGUCCCUCACAGUUGCACCAGCGGCCGGGCAGGCGAGCAGGCGAGCGAGCGGGCGGGCGCACUAGACCGCGUCAGCUCCCGGCCCCGGCGAGCCCGGCGCGCGCGCGGGGUUGGGGGGUGACAACCGUCUUCAUUUGGGCCGGGACACCCAGAGGCCUACAAAUAAACACUCGUGGCAUCAGGAUUGGCAGCCCUCUGGCCCACGGCCCAGCCACGACGAACCUGGGCCAAGGACUCUUUGUUGGACACAACCUUUAUUUCUGACGAGGGACCGCGGGCAAGGAGUAAACCAGGACAGACAGGGGGGGAAAAAAAAAACAGGAAACCCUUGAGGACGUGAGGGAAGGAGCCGGCCGGGAGUCGGAGGCUGGCGCCGGUCCCUCUUCUCCCCGACAGAGGGGUGUCCCCCGUGAAACCACUUGCUGGGCGCACACCCCAGACACUCCUCGCCUUGGGGGCCGCAGCCAUGUCCGUUAAGGGCAGCUCGAAGGCGACUGGCCCUCCUUCCCGCGACAACAGAGGUGCGGGCCAACCUGCUAAGGAGACG